rnacentral:rRNA from 1 species
CUACGGGAGGCUGCAGUGGGGAAUAUUGCACAAUGGGCGCAAGCCUGAUGCAGCCAUGCCGCGUGUAUGAAGAAGGUCUUCGGGUUGUAAAGUACUUUCAGCGGGGAGGAAGGGAGUAAAGUUAAUACCUUUGCUCAUUGACGUUACCCGCAGAAGAAGCACCGGCUAACUCCGUGCCAGCAGCCGCGGUAAUACGGAGGGUGCAAGCGUUAAUCGGAAUUACUGGGCGUAAAGCGCACGCAGGCGGUUUGUUAAGUCAGAUGUGAAAUCCCCGGGCUCAACCUGGGAACUGCAUCUGAUACUGGCAAGCCUGAGUCUCGUAGAGGGGGGUAGAAUUCCAGGUGUAGCGGUGAAAUGCGUAGAGAUCUGGAGGAAUACCGGUGGCGAAGGCGGCCCCCUGGACGAAGACUGACGCUCAGGUGCGAAAGCGUGGGGAGCAAACAGGAUUAGAUACCCUAGUAGUC